CUGCGGGGCCUUGAGAAGCACAGCAGUGAGGCAUCUACACCAUGGCCUGGGCUCCUCUCCUGCUCACACUUCUGGCUCACUGCACAGGGGCCACAUCCCAGGCUGUGGUGACUCAGGAAAUUUUACUGUCCACAACUCCUGGGGGAACGGUCACACUCACCUGUGGCUCCAGUACUGGGGCUGUCACCACGAGUAACUAUGCCUGCUGGGUCCAACAGAAGUCCUACCAGGCACUCCAGGGUCUAAUAGGUGGUACCAGCAGUCGGGUGCCAGGAGUUCCUGCCAGGUUCUCCGGCAGCCUGCUUGGAGACAAAGCCGCCCUCACCAUCACCGGGGUCCAGCCCGAGGACGAGGCCGAGUACUACUGUGUUCUGUGGUACAGCAACCAUUGCCACAGUGACACCUGCAGGGGGGAAGCUGCAAAUUCAGUGUGGCCUGAGCUGGAGGUAGACCCGCAUGCAAAGGACAGGCAGCUGUGCAAGGGCUGCCCGGGACCCUGGGGCUGA